rnacentral:rRNA from 1 species
GAUGAACGCUGGCGGCGUGCCUAACACAUGCAAGUCGAACGAAGUUACUUGCUUAGAUCUCUUCGGAGUGACGAGCUUUUAACUUAGUGGCGGACGGGUGAGUAACACGUGAGCAACCUGCCUUUCAGAGGGGGAUAACGGCUGGAAACGGUCGCUAAUACCGCAUGAUAUAUCGAACUGGCAUCGGUUCGAUAUCAAAGGAGCAAUCCGCUGAAAGAUGGGCUCGCGUCUGAUUAGAUAGUUGGUGGGGUAACGGCCUACCAAGUCGACGAUCAGUAGCCGGACUGAGAGGUUGAACGGCCACAUUGGGACUGAGAUACGGCCCAG